CUGAAGUUGGCUGCUUGGGAUGUGGGUGAGACCCCAGGGAGCUGGGGGUUGGGCUGCAGCCCUGUCACUGCAGCCUGGGGCCCUCCGUUUCCUCUGGAAAAGCUGCUCCCUCUUUCACCAUCUCCUCUCAGGCUGAGUCCCAGGGACCCUGCACAGGCGUCUGCAGGGCAGGACGGGCCCUGAAAUCUGGCAGCUGGGAGGUUUGCAGCAGUUUCUAACCCUCCCUCCCCUGCUUCUUCCAGGAGGUACCACAAAAGUGUCUGACCCCUUUGGGAAAAGAGAGAGAAGCAGCCAAAGCCGAGGAAGAGCAGCAAAGCGAGGAGCUGCUGAAACAGACAGAAACCGAGAGGCAGAAGAUUGUCUGGGAGUGGAAGGAGCUGCGAGGGCUUCUGGGGGAGCAGGAGCAGCCGCUGCUGUCCCGGCUGGAGGAGCUAGAGAGAGCCAUUGUCCAGAGAAGGGAUGAGGGCGUCUGCAGCCUGUAAUGGGAGAUUUCCCUGCUCAGCGAGAGGGGAGGAGAGAAGGGGCAGCAGCCGCUGAGCCAGUCCCUGCAGGGUGCUGGGAGCACUGGGGGCAGGGAGGACAGGACGUUUCGGAAGCCAGAGCCGUCGUUUGCAGAGCUGGAGAAGAGACUCAGCGAUUUCUCUCUGAAAAGUGCCAUGCUGCAGGAGGUGCUGCUGGGAUUCAAAGCCCAGCUCAGUGAGUCGCCCUUCCCCAUGGAGCAGCCCUGCGGGGCUGGCUCUGUCUGCAGCGGCUGCAUUAUCGGCC